rnacentral:tRNA from 1 species
GCUCAGUCGGUUAAGUGUCUGACUCUUGAUUUCGGCUCAGGUCAUGAUUUCAUAAUUCGUGGGUUCGAACCCCGCAUUGGGCU